rfam:Beta vulgaris subsp. vulgaris Bvchr3.sca003.con0109.1, whole genome shotgun sequence.
UCUAGUGCAGUGAUGAAGCUAAAGUGUGGACUAGAGUUUCUGACCUUUUGGUUGAAGACAAACCCUUGGCUGUCUGAGCACUUAU